AUUGAACGCUGGCGGCAGGCCUAACACAUGCAAGUCGAGCGGAUGAAGGGAGCUUGCUCCUGGAUUCAGCGGCGGACGGGUGAGUAAUGCCUAGGAAUCUGCCUGGUAGUGGGGGAUAACGUCCGGAAACGGGCGCUAAUACCGCAUACGUCCUGAGGGAGAAAGUGGGGGAUCUUCGGACCUCACGCUCUCAGAUGAGCCUAGGUCGGAUUAGCUAGUUGGUGGGGUAAAGGCCUACCAAGGCGACGAUCCGUAACUGGUCUGAGAGGAUGAUCAGUCGCACUGGAACUGAGACACGGUCCAGACUCCUACGGGAGGCAGCAGUGGGGAAUAUUGGACAAUGGGCGAAAGCCUGAUCCAGCCAUGCCGCGUGUGUGAAGAAGGUCUUCGGAUUGUAAAGCACUUUAAGUUGGGAGGAAGGGCAGUAAGUUAAUACCUUGCUGUUUUGACGUUACCAACAGAAUAAGCACCGGCUAACUUCGUG
rnacentral:rRNA from 1 species